UACGUAGGGUGCGAGCGUUGUCCGGAAUUAUUGGGCGUAAAGGGCUCGUAGGCGGUUUGUCGCGUCGGGAGUGAAAACCAUGGGCUUAACUCAUGGCUUGCUUCCGAUACGGGCAGACUAGAGGCAUGCAGGGGAGAACGGAAUUCCUGGUGUAGCGGUGAAAUGCGCAGAUAUCAGGAGGAACACCGGUGGCGAAGGCGGGUCUCUGGGCCGAUACUGACGCUGAGGAGCGAAAGCGUGGGGAGCGAACAGG
rnacentral:rRNA from 1 species